GCAUUAAUGGGGUAGUGGUAACCUGAGUCGUUGCCAUUUCAUGUUGUUAAGAUAGUUUUCUCGAACCGCCGGGGGUUCGAUUCCCCCUUAAUGCA